ACACACACAGACACGUCACACACAGAGACACACAACACAACACACACGCAUGUUUAAUACACCUCUUCUGUUUGCUUUUUUUUUUUUUUUCUAACUUUCUUCAGCGUAUGGUGCUUUGCUUUGAGGAGAAAACAGACCUUCUGGAGUAAAUGGAAAAUCCAUUUUAAAUAGAAAAGAAGGUCCCCAAGACAGCAAGACACGGGAGAAGAAAUAAGAGAGAAGUAGAGACUGGAACAGAGACAGGAAGGGGGAUUUGAAUUCAGAAAAUCACAUUCAGCCCAGAGAUGAUGGUCAAAGAAAGCCAGUGGGAUAAAACCCCCAAACUAGAUGAUUUAUAAAAUCCACACUCAGGGGCUAUGACUUUGACUUUUUAGCACCUUUGCGGGGAGAAAAGAGAGCCCUCCCACACCCCCAGAAGUGGAAUCAUCAGAGCUCCCCGCUCUCUCAUCUUUGUGGCAUGUCCUCAGAAACUGGGGACCAAAGACGGUGAAUGUAAGCCAAGGGGAACAGAACCCCAGACCUUGGUCUUAGUCCGAUGCAUUUGCAUGCCCGUUCCUUGCCAGCUAGAAAGAAAACACACGAAUCUGAACCUCUUCUCCAAAACAGGGACGGUAAUUCUGGGCAGGAAUGUUAACUGUAGCUGAGGGAAACACGAUAGGGUUGGAAGGAAUAGAAAGGGACUCUCAAAUGAGUUAAUAAGAAUAGAGAAUUAAUCAUGUGCAUUCCACCCCUUGUUAAUUGCCUGGAAUGCACCAUAUGGUAGGAGACAUGAAAUGUGCCCCGGGAACUGAUAGGACUGAAGGGCAGGGAAAAAAGAGAUUUCGAGGAAUAGGAAAAUGCGGCGGCGGCGAUGCCUACAUUACGGUGAGUAGCUAAAGGGAAUCUGUGAAAGCCAAGUGAUUUGGCAGAGAGUCUCUGCUCUGUUCUGAUGGCGAAUGCAAAACUGAGUUCAGAGGAAGAAGCCCGCCUUGUCUUGGGAGACGGCAGGGAGCAGAGAAGAAACUUGCUGAAGUAGAAUGUAAGUGAAACCCCUCCAGGGAAGAAGGGAACCCACAGAGCCAAAGGGACAGGCAGGGCUGCUGGGACUGCUAAGCCUCUGCCCAUCUUGGUUCACCUGGGGUUCCCUAUGCCCUGGUGGCAUCCCCUAGGAGGGAGCAGAGGUGAGAGGAGAGAGCUGUCUGUACACAGCAGCAUCUGAGACAGAGGUGACAGAAGUGGGGGAGGGAAGCUGGACCCCACCAUGUGGCCAGACACAAUUCAUAGGAGCAGUAUCCUGGGGGACAGCAGACAUUGCUCCCUACUGGGGACUUCCAGGGUGGCACAGGAUGUGCCAAGGAGAAAAUAGGAGCUUGUGUACCACCCACUUCAGGAUUCUGGAGAUCCCAAUGACAACCAAGCGGCAUCACUUCCCCCUCAAUAGAAGAGGGAAUAAUGUAUGAGAGGAAGUGUGGGGACCCCUGCAGCCUGCACGGCCAUAUCUAACGGACAGCUCUCUCUCAUCUGAAAGGUGUCCUUUCCUGGGAUCAGGCUCUAGGUCUCUGAUUCUACUCAAUUACAUCUCAGCAUCUCCCCUACAAGACAGGGAAAUCCCGAUUCUUCACUCGGCUGUAGUCUUCCUGAGGAGGCAGUGACCCCCACUGGAAACACAGUUAAGAGAGACACAGAAUUCCAGAAUUCUCAGCAAGCAAGACCCACGGUCUCGAGCACUGCACGCUUCCCACAGAUAACCCUGGGCUUUUCAAGUUUUUGGCCUUGCCCGACCUCUUCCUCCCUCUCUUUCCCUCUCCUUCCUUGAACGCUGGUCUUUCUGAAUGACUCCCGUUCCGUCCACACGCACACCCUCUGCCCUUCCUCAAACAGGUUCCUUAGGUGUUGACUUUAUCUCCAAGACAUAAUCCCCCAAACAUCUAAUCCCUCAACCCAAGGUACAACUGUCAGCCUUAGAAGAGCGAUUCCACCAUGAUGAGAACCUUUAUUUCAUGGGAAUGAGCAUGGUGUGCACACAUCCAUUCUCGUGACCUUAUGGACGGAGGAACCAAGGCAAUCCCACGCGCCAUGAGCCCGAGAGGCAACGUUGACAUCUGAACCCAGGUCAUAGUGAGGAGCUGAAUCUCACACAGCUCUUGGGCUCCCUGUUGUGUGAACUGGGUGUGUGCAGGUGUGCAGGCAUGGUGACAUCAUAAUGGAGGAUUUGGAUGACACCGAUGGGCCUUAUGUCACAAUGCAGUACUGCCAUGAUAUGAUGGAGCAUUUGGCUACUAUAAUUGCUUUUGUGGUGACACAGGGAGGUAAUGUGAUGUCCCCUGGCUCCUGUCUCUUUCUGAAAGCAGAUCCACGGUGGUGACGUUGAACACGACUCCUUUCAGCCAGAGGAUCAUGAAGAGACGCUGAGAGAAAGGACAGUUGCCAAUGCUCUCUCCAUCGAUGCCAGCCUGAACAGAAAGAAGGGCAGAAGGCUGAGUCUCGGGGCACAGACACACAGAACUGAACAUGGACCAUAAAGAACAAACUCUGGGCUUGUAGCCACAUCCCAGCUAACUUUUGAGACCCAUUGCAUCCUUCUCCGUUUCCCUGACAUUCAGGCAGAACAAUACCUUGUACCUUGUGUGGUCUUCAUAAAGGCUGAACUGGAGUUUCCAAUAUGAGAUGUCCUAGGGCCAUACUAUCUGAAACCACAGAACCUCCAGGCCCUUUGAAACUACUGGCUCUCUAAAUAAAGCAGGACUUAAAGAUUCA